rnacentral:rRNA from 1 species
GACGAACGCUGGCGGCGUGCCUAACACAUGCAAGUCGAACGGAAACGCCCCUUUGGGGGUACCCUAGUGGCGGCCGGGUGCGUAACACGUGGGUAACCUGCCCUUUCCUUCGGGAUAACUUCCGUAAACUGGGGCUACUUCCGGAAAGGCCUCCUUGCUGCACCGUGGGGGUUGGAAAGCUUCUGCGGCUUUGGGUGGACUCGCGGCCUAACGGCUUGUUGGUGGGGUAGUGGUUUACCAAGGUGUUAACGGGCAGCUGGCCUGCGAGAGCGACCGGCCACAUUGGGACUGAGAUAAGGCACAGAUUCGUAAGGGAGGCAGAAGUGGGGAAUACUGCACAAUGGGCGGAAGGCUGAUGAAGAAACGCCGCGUGCGGGAUGACCGCCUUGGGGUUGAAAAAAGCUUUCAGCAGGAGCGCCGCUUGUUGUGACGGUACCUGCAGAAGAAGCACCGGCUAACUACGUG